UGUGGCUCAUCUCCACAUGGUGCAGCUGUUGUGUUGGCUAAAGAAAAUGCAGGCCCAAGGGAAACAAAUUUAAUUCAGCUGGGAUGACUUCUACUAAAAAAAAAAAAAAAGUGGUUUAAGGAGAACAGGUGUCUUAUAGUAAGAGGAAUUGUUUGAGAGGUUUUCCCAAAACUUUCUUUGCCUCUAGGAAGUCUAUUCUAAAGCGUCUUAGGACAGGAAGGCUAUACACAGGACCUUAUCAUGCAAAUUAGAAGCUGGAAGGAGCCUCAUUGCUGUUAUUCAGCGUCCUCAGCCUCAAGAAGGUUUGUUUAAUCAACAAAUGACUGUGCAAAGGAAGACCCACAGCCCAUAAAGGCCUUGUGUACUAUGAUAACUCCUCUAGUAUUGUCAUGCAUUCCUGCCUCUCUGCUUCCUGCAUCCUCUGGUAUAUCAGAGUAGAAACUGACUGAUGCUCAGCGGCUGAGACUCGGCAGCUUUCCUGCUGUGGUCAGUAGCAGAUCCCACAGCGCUGAGGCAGCGGGAUCCGUGGAAGCUGGGAAACGCUUUUCCCAGCAGUCUCUCAGGAGGUCUCUCUCUCUGUCAGAGCUGACUGAAUCAGCCCUUCGGACAACACAUUGCAGCGGCCGGCAGAACUUUCUCUUCCUGUUGUUAGCCCUCUUUCCAAAAUAAGGUUCCUCCAGAGGGUAGUCUUUUGUUGUGUAGGUGUCUUCAUACUGCAGUUUCCUCCUUUGGGCCUGUUUUUUCUAUCUCUGACAAGGUCAGAAUUCCUUCUCUUUGGGGAAAUAGAAGUCUGAAUGAGUGAUGAUUUUUCCACACAGACCCCUUUCCUACAGACUUGUUUUUUCUAUAGAAUGUAUAGGAACUGUUCUCAUCUCUUCCUUCUUAACUAAAUAAAUGUUAUGAUGACAAACUUCUGGUUUUCUUUUUGCAAGGUUAAUCUUGUUAGCUCUUACAUCAAUCUUUAUUGCUACAUGUUGUGUCCUCAGAGUGUCUUAACACAGACCUUGGGUAGUGUUUUUAGGAUUCUUCUCAAGUUUCUAAAUUGAAGACCCAAUACUCCUACUGAAUUCCUCCUUUUGAAUAAAAUCCAGAACUCAACAAGGUCAGUAACAAAAUUCAUGAGAUUUUUGUUCUCUGUGCAUGUCUGCACAUAAAGACCUGCAACAAGUCUUGCAUUUUCACAGAUGUGCCCUUACCAAGGGGAAAAAAAUUGUUCAGCCUUUGCCAUUUUUCUCAGCAGGACAUGUGAAAAAGCCCCCAAAUCUCACUGAUGGUAGCAACUGCAAUGGCUAUGCCUAAUGUCAAAACCCAAGAGUAGAUGGACCUGGACUACACCCUACAAGUGAAGAAAAAAAGGAUCCCAAUUAACAAAUAAAGGAGAACCAACUGUGGAAUGAAACCUGCCUUCACAGUGAAGCCAUCAUGGGGACACUCACUCUUUACUGUGUCUGUACAACCAGUAUCUUUUCCAAAGACUGAAAAAAAAAGACUUUAAAAAGACUUUAUUAUUUGUAGAGUAAGAUUAAUUCAACAAAGUGUCACCCAAGGAGGCUGGUUAAAAUUAUAUCUGAAUUUAAGAGCAACUUCUUGUUUUUCAUGGUAUUGGAAUAUGCACUUAUCAGGGAAGUUUUAUGUUUGAGGUUCAGGGAGAAGGUGAUGACCAUCUCCUCUGAAUGCUUUCAGAUGAGUGAUUUUCAAAAUGAUGCUAGCAUUCUUCCAGGCAGAGGCCUGGCCAUUAGAUAAGCUUAACAUUAUGGUGGCCAUUUGCAAAACAGAUGAGGGCAGAAAUAGCAAGAGGAAAUGAGAAACCGAAAAACCCGCUGGAACUCCCUGCAAAUAAAAACCCAACCUUGGAAAGAAAAGUGUUAGAUCCUUCCACUGAAAGAAAAACUGGUGAGCAUAAGUUUUCAGCUACUAAAACUAUACCUGCUAUCCAAAGGGAGAUAAAAACACCAGCUGAAGGAAGACCGCCGCAACUGCCAGCCUCAAGAAAUCUAGGAAACAUUACACUCUCUUCCUUUGUGAGAGUCUGCACAGAAGUUUUUUGCUAUGGCCAGAUAGGAUCCAUUUGCUUCUGCAUUCAGGUUGGGUUUUUAAUGAUGGAGCCCAUGGCCAUCCUGGCUAAGAAUCCUGUUUAAUACUCUCUCCUUUGCUAGUAUUUAAGUUGUGUCACAAGGCAUUGGAGAACUACACUACCAGAAGAUUUGACAGAUGUCAUUUGGCAGAUCCUGUGGUGGCCAUUCACAUCACCCUUCCAGCUGCCUCUUCCCCCUCCUCUGCCAGAAAUUACUGUUUAUGGAAGUGACUUGGCGAUAGGGGCCAUACCUGUAGUUCAGAAAUUCUAGUUCAGUCAGAUGCUGUAACUCAAACUUGCAGGCAGAUGUAGCCGAAGGCAGUUUGGUUUUGUUCUCCUUUCAGCAGCUGAAGUCUCCUUUGCACUGGUGUUUGGAAAUGUUGUGAGCAGCAGACCUUGGUUGCCAUGUUUUCACUAUCAGGGUUUCAGAUGGCAAUGGAACUGAUGUGGUGGAAACAGGAAUGGAGCUCUUUCCACUGAUAAUUUCCUGGCAGAGGGAAAAUAUGAAAUCAUAUUUUUUAAUCAAAUAGCCUCACCUGAGUAAAUAUUCUAGCAAUUCCAAUUUUUAAUUUUAUUAUCAUAGCCUAUUGCUCAAGCUGUGUUUUCUGACUGCAGCAAUAAUAGUGCUAUGAGCACAUGAAGAUUUUUUCAAACUGGCAUUGUAUUUGGUUCCUUUUACAUUUCCACACAUAAUCUGCAUAACAUUAUUAAAUCUUUCCUGUACAUUAUUUAGCCUCUGGGAUCAAAUGAAAUAAUACAUGACUGGAACUCUUUGGACUUUGACAGAUGUCCUCUGGCAGAUUUUUUGCAGCGGUUUGUUACUGUUCUCAGCUAUUUUCUUGGCCUUUUCCUGGAAUGGGACGUGUCUCAGCUGCUCUGGUGGAAAACACUAACCUCUUAGCUUUUAAGGAUGAUAAAAGCGGGUUUGAGUUACUGCACCAGACUUUGAACUGAAAUGGCUGAAGCAAAGGUAUGGUCCUUUUCACCAGCAAACCUACAAGAAGAGUAAUCCUUCAGAUAGUUGUCAAAGGGGUUGGAAGGGGAACUUGGAGCACUCACAAGUGUAUGGAGAUAUAUUUUACAGCAUCUUGCCUCUGGUCUGUUUUCCAUGGGAGAGCACAGGGAAGCUGGGUAUUCUCUUAAAAUAGUGCAGGUCAUGAUAUAAACACUUCUGCAUCUCUUUUUUGUAAGCAUAUAGUUUCUUCUGAAAUUGAUCUGCCUUGUGGGCUCUCUCCUACUGUGGGUCGUUGAGUCAUCCUAAGUAAUAUGGUACCUAGAUGGUGCAGAGUUUGUUUCCUUUCAUCUGUACACCUGCACAAGGCUUUUUAUGUGUGGGAGAGCUUUCUCUGCCUUGUGUAUUUUGUAAAUAACCUCUUCACCAAAGAGAACCCUGGGCUUAUGAUCUUUGCCAACAUUACCACACUUUCUACACAUUUGGGCUGAGUAAAAAUAGUUAUCCCAACAUCCUUCAUUUGUUUUUGAAAACUUCUCUAUCAACCAUUUAAUAUGGCAAAAGCACCACACCAUCAGAUUUUAAUGAGUUCAGGCGGUUUCGAACAACUGAGCAUUUAAAUCUGCGAAUAAACUGAAGAAUGUGUCACUGCCUUCAAGAAGCAUACUUUCAUUUUAAGAAACCACAGCUGCAACAAUAAAUUUGACACACAGUAAGUUGAAGGUGGCAAGGAUUAAAGGUAUGGAAUUAGAAAGAAAAAAAGCCACCCUUGUGCUGUUGAACAGAGUACAGGACAUAAAUCAAUGACUAACUUUGGCUAAGCUUUGCCUUAUGGAAGUAUGCAGCAUUGCAGCUUUGCAGUUAUCAGUAUUUGUCAUCUUGAGUAUCAGUACACAUGCCAGAUGCAAAAGAGGGGCCCAGAAGAGAAAACAUGGGGGAUGAGGAAAAGAAAAUUAAUAAUUUCAGUGACAGUGUACACUAUUUUGAUGGGAAACAGAACUUCUGUAAUAUUUCAAGGGACUUUAGCGUAUAUAUGUGUAUGGACAAAAGCUGUUGGAAAUAAGCCUUUGACUUCAAAAUGUGCCUGAUUAAAAGAAUACUGAUAAGAAUUAAGAUGUGAACAGCUGGAACUUUGAUUGCAGUUAUGUUUUCUUCUGGAUGUUUAUUUCUAGAUCACUUUUGCAGCUGCUUUUAUCUACUCCUUAGAAAUUCUUGUAGAUUUGAGGAACCAUUAGCUGUAAAAGUAAACAUCAGCUCUGGUCUGGUUUUAUGUAUCUUCUUGAAGCCGUUGAGGGGGGAAAGAUAACAUUAAACUAAUGCUGCUUUAGAUUAGACUUAAGCAAUGCUUUGAGCAGCCUUUUAGCAUUUUAGGCUCCACCUGUAACUCUAACAGCAAGUCGAGCAUUUCUGAUUUCUUCUUUACCAGGCAUGUAGGAAUUGCCAAACUCUAGGAAUGAAAAUACUCUUUCUGGAAAGCUUAAAUUCAUGUCUCAGUGUAGUUCAAGACACUGAAUGCUUUGAAGUGUGCCUCUACUAUCUAUGUACAGGGAUGGUCCUUAAAACCAGUUCUGCUGCUUUUCAGUAUCUGUCAUCUGUAAAUAUUAUGCUUUGAAUAAAACAGAUCUGCAGUUUUGACUCCA